rnacentral:sRNA from 1 species
GAUGACGCACACGGAAGCACCGAUAGGCUCUGCCUCCCGAAGAAAAGGGAGCCGCGCAGCGCCUACGGGAGUCCGGCUGCAGCAGCCGGUACCGGCAACCACGGGCAGCUCUCAGGGAAUCUCCGUCGUGAGGCCAGAGGCUCCAGUCCCCGCGAGUCCAGAUGCCUGUCCAGCCUCCAAGCAAAGACACAGAAGAGAUGGAAGCAGAGGGUGAUUCUGCUGCUGAGAUGAAUGGGGAGGAGGAAGAGAGUGAGGAGGAGCGGAGCGGCAGCCAGACAGAGUCAGAAGAGGAGAGCUCCGGUGAGCCCCUACACACACAGACACACACACACACACAGAGCCCCUACACACACACAUGCACACACACAGCCCCUACACACAAGCAUGCACGCACAUGCACAUACAGCGCCUACACACAAGCACAUACACAACCCCUGCACACAAG